rnacentral:rRNA from 1 species
CAGUAUGGCCAUACCAUCCUGGAUAUGUCUGAUCUCAGAAACUAAGCAGUGUGAGGCCUGGUUAGUGCUUGGAUGGGAGACCUCCCGGGAACGCCAGCUUCUAUAGGCU